rnacentral:rRNA from 1 species
AUUGAACGCUGGCGGCAGGCUUAACACAUGCAAGUCGAACGAGCGGCGGACGGGUGGGUAAUGUCUGGGCAACUGCCUAAUGGAGGGGGAUAACUACUGGAAACGGUAGCUAAUACCGCAUACCCUCAGUUGUGCCCAGAUGGGAUUAGCGAGUGGGUGGGGUAAUGGCUCACCUAGGCGACGAUCCCUAGCUGGUCUGAGAGGCUGACCAGCCACACUGGAACUGAGAAACGGUCCAGACUCCUACGGGAGGCAGCAGUGGGGAAUAUUGCACAAUGGGCGCAAGCCUGAUGCAGCCAUGCCGCGUGUGUGAAGAAGGCCUUCGGGUCGUAAAGCACUGUCAGCGAGGAGGCGUUACCCGCAGAAGAAGCACCGGCUAACUCCGUGCCAGCAGCCGCGGUAAUAC